rnacentral:rRNA from 1 species
CGUACACUCCUACGGGAGGCAGCAGUGGGGAAUCUUGCGCAAUGGGCGAAAGCCUGACGCAGCCAUGCCGCGUGAAUGAUGAAGGUCUUAGGAUUGUAAAAUUCUUUCACCGGGGACGAUAAUGACGGUACCCGGAGAAGAAGCCCCGGCUAACUUCGUGCCAGCAGCCGCGGUAAUACGAAGGGGGCUAGCGUUGCUCGGAAUUACUGGGCGUAAAGGGAGCGUAGGCGGACAUUUAAGUCAGGGGUGAAAUCCCGGGGCUCAACCUCGGAAUUGCCUUUGAUACUGGGUGUCUUGAGUAUGAGAGAGGUGUGUGGAACUCCGAGUGUAGAGGUGAAAUUCGUAGAUAUUCGGAAGAACACCAGUGGCGAAGGCGACACACUGGCUCAUUACUGACGCUGAGGCUCGAAAGCGUGGGGAGCAAACAGGAUUAGAUACCCUUGUAGUCCCAUG